rnacentral:lncRNA from 1 species
UGGAACAGAGCGGUGGCCGAAUAAAAAACCGAUCAAUAUCCUCAUCCAAAGAUGGAAACGCUAUUGCAUCAACGUCAAUGUUCUCAUCAGCCUCUGUUGUUUGAUGACCGAAAGUUGGAAAACUCAUUGCAUCCGCCAUAUCCAUGUUCACAUUAACGUUGUCCUCCUCCAUCUCUGUUGUUUGAAGACGAUCUACCACAGUUGGCACAUCAGACAUCUCAACUGCUCCGAUGGCAUCCAACAAAUUACUUGAGUUUGCAUCCAUAACACCGAAGACGACCUGCGAAUGAUCAAAAGGUGGUCUUGGGUUCAAGAUAAGGGUGGUCUGCGUGAUUGGAUAAGUUAUUUCUCGCAUAGCGUCCCUUUUAGCUCGGAGAACCUGGAGAAAAGUUAAAACUAAUUAUCAAGAAUUUAAUUUAUAAUUAGUUACUAAGCUGUGGUGUAUAUGUAAACACUUACAUAUGACCUGCGCCAAUCAUCUUUAAACAGAAAAAGGGAAUCCCCCACUCCUAGGUUAUGUAUCUCAAUUAAGCUCCCUGAAAAAUGAUAGUUAAUUAAUCAGAACAUAAUUCUGCAAAGGAUCUAUUAGUGUAGUGGUUUAGAGCGAUCGAUCUCUCAGAAAAGGUUUAAGUUCGAAUUCUAGCAUUCGUGUAGUGUGUGUGAGUUUAAUACAUUAUCGCCUCUCUUAAUAGGAAAAAAAUCAGAACAUAAUUCUUAAAUUUAAAGACGUGAAAUGAUGCAGUUAAGUUGGAGAUUGGGCUCACUCGUAUUAUCAAGUAAGUACAUUCGGCUGGUGUUGUUGGCCCAAUACCUGUGAAAAAGAUCACAUAUUAUAUAUAGUUUGUUAUUUAAAUCAAAGCAAAAAAAAGAAAAAAAAAAGGACUUGGCUUAAUGGGAACCUGAACUUGAAAGUCCAAACAUGCAUAAAGUCCAUGUCGUCCAAAUGCAUCCAGAGUCCAU